rnacentral:rRNA from 1 species
GGCGAACGGGUGAGUAACACGUGGGUGAUCUGCCUUGCACUCUGGGAUAAGCUUGGGAAACUGGGUCUAAUACCGGAUAGGACGAUGGUUUGGAUGCCAUUGUGGAAAGUUUUUCGGUGUGGGAUGAGCUCGCGGCCUAUCAGUUUGUUGGUGAGGUAGUGGCUCACCAAGGCGAUGACGGGUAGCCGGCCUGAGAGGGCGACCGGCCACACUGGGACUGAGACACGGCCCAG